rnacentral:rRNA from 1 species
GCUUAGCCUUAAACCCAGAUAUUUACAUUACAAAAAAUAUCCGCCAGGGUACUACGAGCGCUAGCUUAAAACCCAAAGGACUUGACGGUGUCUCAGACCCGCCUAGAGGAGCCUGUUCUAGAACCGAUAAUCCACGUUUAACCUCACCACCUCUUGUAUUCCCCGCCUAUAUACCGCCGUCGCAAGCUUACCCUGUGAAGGAAUAUAAGUAAGCAAAAUGGGCACACCCCAGAACGUCAGGUCGAGGUGUAGCUUACGAGGUGGGAAGAAAUGGGCUACAUUUUCUGCACCAGAAUAUACGAACGGUAUUAUGAAACUAAUACCCGAAGGUGGAUUUAGUAGUAAAAAUCAAAUAGAGAGUCAUUUUGAAUAAGGCUCUGAGAUGCGC